CUGGGAGCAGGUGGAGUCCACGCUGAUGAAGAACUCGUACUGGUCUUUGUUCAUCCGCGAUGGACGGGACUCGAUGUGCGUCAGGUUGAUGCCUUUGUCCUGCAGAAACAGAGGGAACAGAGGAGACUUUGGAGAAGCCUGGAAACAUGGCCCAUGGGAGGCUUUGUGUGGCUUGAAGAACUACACCACCUGUCUAUGCUCUCAGGAAGGACAAGACAGUUCUUACCUGGAACCCUGGUCCCAACAAAACCUUUGUUUCACAGAUGGACCCAUCUGGGACGUGAUGUCAUAUAAAACUCCCAGGGUUCCUCCAUGUCCUCCUCACAUUGUACAGUGGAUGGAGAGCUCCCCACUGCGUCAUUUACUGUCAUUAAUGGUGAUGGAGACAAUUGCUCAUUUAUCACAAGAAGUGGUGCAGUGUGCUUCCACAAUGGCUCUCUCCAUAGGACCUCAGUCUUAUUCACACACUGAAGGUCCAUUCUCACACUAAUGAUCAGCCAGAUGCGAGUCACUUUUACUGUCUGACGGGUUCAGACUGCAAGGAAUGAGCUCUUUUACAUGCUGCAGCUGUCCUGGUUUAAAACAAUUUUUGCUUUUGUCACGAUUAUGUAACUCGAGCUUUUUUCAUAAUUGUUGUGGAAAAAGUGCAGUUGGACGAGGAAACUGACUCCAGCACAGAGCAGCACUGUGCAGAGGAAGUAGCAGGGGUGCUUAGAGAUGAUAAUCGGUUAUAGAGUUGUGCGGUUCCUAAUUGUGCUUUCAUGAGACGUCGUUGAUUAAUAGAUUAGUUGACAGACAUCUUGUGAAUGUUGUCCACAUGUGCACUGUCCACAGGGGUGCUGAAGAAUCCACUCCAGCCUUCCAGCAGCAUUGUGGAGGCUCUUUUCUGAGAGAGGAAAGCAAGAGAGAGAGGGGAGGAGGAGGAGGAGGAGGAGGUGGGGAUGGGGGGGCAGAGAAAAGAGAAUGAAACUUUGAGGCUUUUCGGCAGUGCCUGUUGUAAAGGGGAGUGAAUGAGUGUGGGGGCCGUGCAGCCAGCCACAUGGGCCGUUCUCACUCGGGAUAAUGGAGGCCUUUCUGUGGUUCUUAACCCCCUUGUCGCACGCUGGGAACGGGCAGCCGUCCGCCCCGUCGCUGACAACAGACACGCUCAGACACGCUCACCCGCUGGAUAAUUGAAUUUUACACCCAGGAAAGUCACCCCCUUCCUCUGGCCGGGUCCCCCGCUACACGUGGCCCUGACAGGAACUCUCCCAGGAUCAACAUCUCAUCCAGGGAAAGAGUCCAAAUUGGGCCCAGCGCCCCAGUAUCCCUAGAGCCAUGCAGGGGUUGCAUUUAGAGAUGGCAGUGUUGGUCAGUCCACUGCUUUGGCCCAGACUGAAAUAUCUCAACUAGUAUUGUACAGACUGGCAUGAUAUUUGGUACAUCUAAUUUUGUACAGGUAUUCAUGCCCCCUUCCUAAUUUGAGCUUAUUUGAGUUAACAGAAACAUUAACUGUGUGCUGUAAAUGCUCUUAUGGGGUUCAACAGCUGUUUUAUCACCUUGGCAGAAUGUGCAACAGAUAACAAGGAAGUGUUGUGUUACUUGCAGGUGAAUGCUGUGUAAUCGCUCUCUGGCUCAGCUUACAACAUGAGGUAAAGAUGAAGAUUAGAUUGGUGCGUUGUUUUCAAGAGUUUGUUUUAAGAGGGGGAGAGCUGAGGUCCCUAACUGAGGGGGAUUACAUGUUAAUGUUGCUUGGGGGGGGGUAUUGAUGAUGUAAAUAGACAGCGAUCCUGACCCUCCCUCCCUCC